rnacentral:rRNA from 1 species
GAAACUACAAAGGAAGUUAGACGGGGCCCGCACAAGCGGUGGAGUAUGUGGUUUAAUUCGAUGCAACGCGAAGAACCUUACCUGGUCUUGACAUCCCGGAGACCCUUAGGAAACUAGGGGGUGCUUCCAUCUGGAAGAAUCUGGAGACAGGUGCUGCAUGGCUGUCGUCAGCUCGUGUCGUGAGAUGUUGGGUUUAAGUCCCGCAACGAGCGCAACCCUUGCCUUUAGUUGCCAGCAGUUCGGCUGGGCACUCUAAAGGGACUGCCGGUGUUAAACCGGAGGAAGGUGGGGAUGACGUCAAGUCCUCAUGGCCUUUAUGACCAGGGCUACACACGUACUACAAUGGCCGAUACAAAGGGCAGCGACACUGCGAGGUGAAGCCAAUCCCGUAAAAUCGGUCUCAGUCCGGAUUGGAGUCUGCAACUCGACUCCAUGAAGUUGGAAUCGCUAGUAAUCGUGGAUCAGCAUGCCACGGUGAAUACGUUCCCGGGCCUU